CAUAGGGUUUCGCCCUAUGCUGUUUUAUGUCGCCACUUCGUGGCU
rnacentral:sRNA from 1 species